AACGAACGCUGGCGGCAGGCUUAACACAUGCAAGUCGAGCGCCCCGCAAGGGGAGCGGCAGACGGGUGAGUAACGCGUGGGAACGUACCUUUUGGUUCGGAACAACUCCGGGAAACUGGAGCUAAUACCGGAUAAGCCCUAACGGGGAAAGAUUUAUCGCCGAAAGAUCGGCCCGCGUCUGAUUAGCUAGUUGGUGAGGUAACGGCUCACCAAGGCGACGAUCAGUAGCUGGUCUGAGAGGAUGAUCAGCCACACUGGGACUGAGACACGGCCCAGACUCCUACGGGAGGCAGCAGUGGGGAAUAUUGGACAAUGGGCGCAAGCCUGAUCCAGCCAUGCCGCAUGAGUGAUGAAGGCCUUAGGGUUGUAAAGCUCUUUUGUCCGGGAAGAUAAUGACUGUACCGGAAGAAUAAGCCCCGGCUAACUUCGU
rnacentral:rRNA from 1 species